UUGAUGCACGAUAUUUUUUGC
rnacentral:piRNA from 1 species